CAGGAGGUAGUUUAAGUAGAAUGUCAGCUUUGGGUGCUGAUGGUGGGAUUUAAAUAUUUCUCUCUUGA
rnacentral:tRNA from 1 species